rnacentral:rRNA from 1 species
AAAACGACUCUCGGCAACGGAUAUCUCGGCUCUCGCAUCGAUGAAGAACGUAGCGAAAUGCGAUACUUGGUGUGAAUUGCAGAAUCCCGUGAACCAUCGAGUCUUUGAACGCAAGUUGCGCCCGAAGCCACUCGGCCGAGGGCACGUCUGCCUGGGCGUCACGC